GUAUCUAUCGCUUAGAGGUCAAUAGCGAUGAGCUCAUGACUCAUUACAUAAAUAUCAGUAGUUCGAAUCUACUUAGAUACA
rnacentral:tRNA from 1 species